rnacentral:rRNA from 1 species
UACGUAGGGGGCUAGCGUUGUCCGGAAUCAUUGGGCGUAAAGCGCGUGUAGGCGGUUUGUCGCGUCUGCUGUGAAAUUUCGGGGCUCAACCCCGAACUUGCAGUGGGUACGGGCAGACUAGAGUGUGGUAGGGGAGACUGGAAUUCCUGGUGUAGCGGUGAAAUGCGCAGAUAUCAGGAGGAACACCGAUGGCGAAGGCAGGUCUCUGGGCCAUAACUGACGCUGAGAAGCGAAAGCAUGGGGAGCGAACAGG